AUGACAGACAUGUCGACGCCGACCGCGCCUUGGUUUGCGGAUCUCUUCACAGAUGUCAGGGUGAGGACCCUGUCGCACCAGGUCACCACACUUGGGGACAGGGUGUGGGAACUGGAGCGCAAAAGUACCCAGCUGAUCUGCGAGAAGGGCAAGCUGGAGAAGCAACUGGAGGAGACGAAGGCGAUCUCAAGCCACAAGGAAGAGGUGGAGAGAAGCUUCAAGGCUGAAAAUGAUAAGCUUCGGUCGGAAGUUUCGAUCGCAGAGGAAAAAUGUGGCAAGUCUGAAGCGGAGGUUGAGAGGCUAAGCAAGGAAUUAGGCGAGCUGGCGGAGGCAAAAGAGGCUGCUACCAAUGAAUUCAAUGACGAGAGAGCAAAAAUCAGGCUAGAAUCGGAGAAUCUCAAGAGAAGGCUGGAGGAAAUUCAGGCUAUCAAGGAUUUGGCAGAGAGCGAAAAUGACAAGCUUCGUUCAGAGGCUUUGAUCGCAAAGGAAAAGCAAAACAUGUCCGAAGCAAAGAUUGAGAGGCUCAAGAUAGAACUGGGUGGGUUGGCGGAGGCGAAGGAGGCGGCCGCCAAGGCAUUUGAUGUGAAAAAUGCAGAAAUCACAGAGGAAUUAGAAGAACUUAAGAGGAAGCUGAAGGAAAUCCAAACAAAUAAGGAUUUAGUGGAUGCAGAAAAUGAUAAGCUUCGGUCUGAGGUUUUCACAGCGGAGGAGAACUGUAGGCAGUCUGAAGCAGAGGUUAAGUGUCUUAAGCAAGUAGUGGGUGCAUUGGUGGAGGCGAAGGAGGCAGCGGCAAAGGCAUUUGAAGCCGAGAAGGUAGAAACCAUGAAGGAAAUGGACAAUCUGAAGAGGACAAUAGAGGAAAUCCAGGCCAACAAAGAUUCUGUGGAGAGUCAAAACCAUGAGCUCCAGUCAAAGAUUUUGAUUGCAGAGCAGGAGAAUAGUGUAUUCGAAGCAGAGGUGAAGAGCCUCAAGAUGGAAUUGGAUGCAGUAGAGGAGGCCAAGGAGGUUCUUACGAAGGAGUUUGAUGCCGAGAAGGCUGAAAUCCUCAAGGAACUGGAGGAUCUUAAGGUGAAUCUGGAGGAAUUCCAGGUCAACAAGGAUUUGUUGGAGGGUAAAAAUGAUAAGCUUCGGUUGGAGGUUUUUGCUGCAGAGCAGAGACAAAGCAUGUCUGAAGCAGAGGCUAAGAGCCUUAAGAUGGAACUGGUUGCAUUAGUGGAGGCAAAGGAGGCGGCUACAAAAGCAUUUGACGCCGAGAAAGCAAAAAUCACGAAGGAUUUGGAGGUUCUUAAGAGGAAGGUGGAGGAAAUCCAGACCAAGAAGGAUUUGGUGGAGGGUGAGAAGGAUAAGCUUUGUUUGGAGAUUUUAAUAGCAGAGCAGAAACAUGCUAUGUCUGAAUUAGAGGUCAAACGCCUCAAGAUGGACUUAGCUGCAUUGGCGGAUGCGAAGGAGGCAGCUGUGAAGUCAUUUGACGGCGAGAAGGCCAAAUUCAUGAAGGAGGUAGAGAGCCUCAAGAGGAAGAUAGAGGAAAUCCACGCCAGCAAGGAAGCAGCUGAGGAAGCAGGGCGCAACAAAGAUGUCGAGGCUGAUAGGUUGAAGGAUGAGUUGGUGAAGAUUCGCUUUUCUGUCUCACAGCUGCAAGCAUCCUGUAUUGAACUUGAUGCGAAGCAUUCACGCCUGAAUGAUGAGAUGAAUGCAGUCCAGAAAGCACUAGUGUCUGAGAAGGUUGAAGGUAACAAGUUGAAGCUAAAAAUUGAGGAGCUCGAGAAUUACAUUGCUGAAAAGGAUGGUGAGAAUGGGAAACUAAAGGCGGCAUUGGAGGAAAAGGAGAGUGAGAUUGAUGCCCUCGGCAAAGACAAUGAGCAGCUACAUCUCACAGUUGCUGAGGCACAUGAGAAGAAUAAAUGUAGCAUUUUAUCAUUCUUAUCACCGUGCGGCUCCAAAUAA
rnacentral:rRNA from 1 species